rnacentral:rRNA from 1 species
UGAGUAACCUGCCCCACACUCUGGAAUAAGCGCUGGAAACGGCGUCUAAUACCGGAUAUGACACGAACGGGCAUCCGUAUCGUGUGGAAAGUUUUUCGGUCUGGGAUGGACUCGCGGCCUAUCAUCUUGUUGGUGAGGUAAUGGCUCACCAAGGCGAUGACGGGUAGCCGGCCUGAGAGGGCGAUCGGCCACACUGGGACUGAGACACGGCCCAGACUCCUACGGGAGGCAGCAGUGGGGAAUAUUGCACAAUGGGCGAAAGCCUGAUGCAGCGACGCCGCGUGAGGGAUGACGGCCUUCGGGUUGUAAACCUCUUUCAGCAGGGAAGAAGCGAAAGUGACGGUACCUGCAGAAGAAGCACCGGCUAACUACGUGCCAGCAGCCGCGGUAAUACGUAGGGUGCGAGCGUUGUCCGGAAUUAUUGGGCGUAAAGAGCUUGUAGGCGGUUUGUCGCGUCUGCUGUGAAAAUCCGGGGCUCAACCCCGGACUUGCAGUGGGUACGGGCAGACUAGAGUGUGGUAGGGGAGACUGGAAUUCCUGGUGUAGCGGUGAAAUGCGCAGAUAUCAGGAGGAACACCGAUGGCGAAGGCAGGUCUCUGGGCCACUACUGACGCUGAGAAGCGAAAGCAUGGGGAGCGAACAGGAUUAGAUACCCUGGUAGUCCAUGCCGUAAACGUUGGGAACUAGGUGUGGGUCUCAUUCCACGAGAUCCGUGCCGCAGCUAACGCAUUAAGUUCCCCGCCUGGGGAGUACGGCCGCAAGGCUAAAACUCAAAGGAAUUGACGGGGGCCCGCACAAGUGGCGGAGCAUGUGGAUUAAUUCGAUGCAACGCGAAGAACCUUACCAAGGCUUGACAUAUACCGGAAACAUUCAGAGAUGGGUGCCCCGCAAGGUCGGUAUACAGGUGGUGCAUGGUUGUCGUCAGCUCGUGUCGUGAGAUGUUGGGUUAAGUCCCGCAACGAGCGCAACCCUCGUUCUAUGUUGCCAGCACGUAAUGGUGGGGACUCAUAGGAGACUGCCGGGGUCAACUCGGAGGAAGGUGGGGAUGAGGUCAAAUCAUCAUGCCCCUUAUGUCUUGGGCUUCACACAUGCUACAAUGGCCGGUACAAAGGGCUGCGAAACCGCUAGGUGGAGAAAUUCCAAAAAACCUCUCUCAGU